ACAAUGAAGAGUUUGAUCCUGGCUCAGGAUGAACGCUAGCGGCAGGCUUAACACAUGCAAGUCGAGGGGCAGCGGGUUGUAGCAAUACAAUGCCGGCGACCGGCGCA
rnacentral:rRNA from 1 species